rnacentral:rRNA from 1 species
UACGUAGGGUGCGAGCGUUGUCCGGAAUUAUUGGGCGUAAAGGGCUCGUAGGCGGUUUGUCGCGUCGGGAGUGAAAACCUCGGGCUUAACUCGGGGCUUGCUUUCGAUACGGGCAGACUGGAGGUAUGCAGGGGAGAACGGAAUUCCUGGUGUAGCGGUGAAAUGCGCAGAUAUCAGGAGGAACACCGGUGGCGAAGGCGGUUCUCUGGGCAUGACCUGACGCUGAGGAGCGAAAGCGUGGGGAGCAAACAGG